rnacentral:rRNA from 1 species
UUGGAGGGCAAGUCUGGUGCCAGCAGCCGCGGUAAUUCCAGCUCCAAUAGCGUAUAUUAAAGUUGUUGCAGUUAAAAAGCUCGUAGUUGAAUUUCGGGGUUCUACCGUUGGUCGGGCUUUGUCUGUACUGGUGUGUAGAAUUUCUACCUUCUGGGGAACCAUCAUGCUAUUAAUUUAGCGUGGUGGGAAACCAGGACCUUUACCUUGAAAAAAUUAGUGUGUUCAAAGCAGGCUUAUGUCUGAAUACAUUAGCGUGGAAUAAUAGAAUAGGACGGUGGUCCUGUUUUGUUGGUUUCUGAAUCACCGUAAUGAUUAAUAGGGAUAGUUGGGGGCAUUAGUAUUCAAUUGUCAGAGGUGAAAUCCUUGGAUUUAUUGAAGACUAACUUCUGCGAAAGCAUUUGCCAAGGAUGUUUUCAUUAAUCAAGAACGAAAGUUAGGGGAUCGAAGACGAUCAGAUACCGUCGUAGUCUUAACCAUAAACUAUGCCGACUAGGGAUCGGACGAUGUUAAUUUUUCUUGACUCGUUCGGCGCCUUACGGGAAAC